GGCUAGGAAUCUGCCUGUUAGUGGGGGAUAACGUUCCGAAGGAACGCUAAUACCGCAUACGUCCUACGGGAGAAAGUGGGGGAUCUUCGGACCUCACGCUAACAGAUGAGCCUAGGUCGGAUUAGCUAGUAGGUGAGGUAAUGGCUCACCUAGGCGACGAUCCGUAGCUGGUCUGAGAGGAUGAUCAGCCACACUGGAACUGAGACACGGUCCAGACUCCUACGGGAGGCAGCAGUGGGGAAUAUUGGACAAUGGGCGAAAGCCUGAUCCAGCCAUGCCGCGUGUGUGAAGAAGGUCUUCGGAUUGUAAAGCACUUUAAGUUGGGAGGAAGGGCUCUUGGCUAAUACCCAGGAGUUUUGACGUUACCGACAGAAUAAGCACCGGCUAACUCUGUGCCAGCAGCCGCGGUAAUACAGAGGGUGCAAGCGUUAAUCGGAAUUACUGGGCGUAAAGCGCGCGUAGGUGGUUUGUUAAGUUGGAUGUGAAAGCCCCGGGCUCAACCUGGGAAUUGCAUCCAAAACUGGCAGACUAGAGUACGGUAGAGGGUGGUGGAAUUUCCUGUGUAGCGGUGAAAUGC
rnacentral:rRNA from 1 species